UAGGGAAUCUUCGGCAAUGGACGAAAGUCUGACCGAGCAACGCCGCGUGAGUGAAGAAGGUUUUCGGAUCGUAAAACUCUGUUGUUAGAGAAGAACAAGGACGUUAGUAACUGAACGUCCCCUGACGGUAUCUAACCAGAAAGCCACGGCUAACUACGUGCCAGCAGCCGCGGUAAUACGUAGGUGGCAAGCGUUGUCCGGAUUUAUUGGGCGUAAAGCGAGCGCAGGCGGUUUCUUAAGUCUGAUGUGAAAGCCCCCGGCUCAACCGGGGAGGGUCAUUGGAAACUGGGAGACUUGAGUGCAGAAGAGGAGAGUGGAAUUCCAGGUGUAGCGGUGAAAUGCGUAGAGAUAUGGAGGAACACCAGUGGCGAAGGCGGCUCUCUGGUCUGUAACUGACGCUGAGGCUCGAAAGCGUGGGGAGCAAACAGG
rnacentral:rRNA from 1 species